ACGUGCCAGCAGCCGCGGUAAUACGUAGGGUGCAAGCGUUAUCCGGAAUUAUUGGGCGUAAAGGGCUCGUAGGCGGUUCGUCGCGUCCGGUGUGAAAGUCCAUCGCUUAACGGUGGAUCCGCGCCGGGUACGGGCGGGCUUGAGUGCGGUAGGGGAGACUGGAAUUCCCGGUGUAACGGUGGAAUGUGUAGAUAUCGGGAAGAACACCAAUGGCGAAGGCAGGUCUCUGGGCCGUUACUGACGCUGAGGAGCGAAAGCGUGGGGAGCGAACAGGAUUAGAUACCCUGGUAGUCCACGCCGUAAACGGUGGAUGCUGGAUGUGGGGCCCGUUCCACGGGUUCCGUGUCGGAGCUAACGCGUUAAGCAUCCCGCCUGGGGAGUACGGCCGCAAGGCUAAAACUCAAAGAAAUUGACGGGGGCCCGCACAAGCGGCGGAGCAUGCGGAUUAAUUCGAUGCAACGCGAAGAACCUUACCUGGGCUUGACAUGUUCCCGACGGUCGUAGAGAUACGGCUUCCCUUCGGGGCGGGUUCACAGGUGGUGCAUGGUCGUCGUCAGCUCGUGUCGUGAGAUGUUGGGUUAAGUCCCGCAACGAGCGCAACCCUCGCCCCGUGUUGCCAGCGGAUUAUGCCGGGAACUCACGGGGGACCGCCGGGGUUAACUCGGAGGAAGGUGGGGAUGACGUCAGAUCAUCAUGCCCCUUACGUCCAGGGCUUCACGCAUGCUACAAUGGCCGGUACAACGGGAUGCGACGCGGCGACGCGGAGCGGAUCCCUGAAAACCGGUCUCAGUUCGGAUCGCAGUCUGCAACUCGACUGCGUGAAGGCGGAGUCGCUAGUAAUCGCGAAUCAGCAACGUCGCGGUGAAUGCGUUCCCGGGCCUUGUACACACCGCCCGUCAAGUCAUGAAAGUGGGCAGCACCCGAAGCCGGUGGCCUAACCCCUUGUGGGAUGGAGCCGUCUAAGGUGAGGCUCGUGAUUGGGACUAAGU
rnacentral:rRNA from 1 species